CCUACGGGAGGCAGCAGUGAGGAAUAUUGGUCAAUGGCCGUAAGGCUGAACCAGCCAAGUCGCGUGAAGGAAGAAGGAUCUAUGGUUUGUAAACUUCUUUUAUAGGGGAAUAAAGGUAUCCACGUGUGGAUAUUUGCAUGUACCCUAUGAAUAAGCAUCGGCUAACUCCGUGCCAGCAGCCGCGGUAAUACGGAGGAUGCGAGCGUUAUCCGGAUUUAUUGGGUUUAAAGGGUGCGUAGGUUGUUUUUUAAGUCAGCGGGGAAAGUUUGUGGCUCAACCAUAAAAUUGCCGUUGAAACUGGAAGACUUGCGUGUGUUUGAGGUAGGCGGAAUGCGUGGUGUAGCGGUGAAAUGCAUAGAUAGCACGCAGAACUCCGAUUGCGAAGGCAGCUUACUAAGCCAUAACGGACACUGAAGCACGAAAGCGUGGGGAUCAAACAGGAUUAGAUACCCGAGUAGUC
rnacentral:rRNA from 1 species